rnacentral:rRNA from 1 species
CCUACGGGUGGCAGCAGUGAGGAAGAGGGGGCAAGGGGCGGAAGCCUGAACCAGCCAAGGAGCGUGCAGGAGGACGGCCCGACGGGUUGUAAACUGCUUUUAUACGGGAAUAACGCGCCUUACGUGUAGGGCUUUGCAUGUACCGUAUGAAUAAGGACCGGCUCAGUCCUGUCCCGCAGCCGCGGUAAUACGGAAGGUCCGGGCGUUAUCCGGAUUUCUUGGGUUUAAAGGGGGCGUAGGCCGCAUGUCAAGCGUGCUGUGCAAUGUCCGGGCUCAACCCGGGCCUUGCAGCGCGAACUGGCGUGCUUGAGUCCGCGGAAAGCAGGCGGAAUUCGUCGUGUAGCGGUGAAAUGCUGAGAUAUGACGAAGAACCCCGAUUGCGAAGGCAGCUUGCUGCAGCGGAACUGACGCUGAUGCUCGAAAGCGCGGGUAUCGAACAGGAUUAGAUACCCUUGUAGUC